CAGCCGCCGCGGUAAUACGUAGGGUGCAAGCGUUAAUCGGAAUUACUGGGCGUAAAGCGUGCGCAGGCGGUUUGUUAAGACAGAUGUGAAAUCCCCGGGCUCAACCUGGGAACUGCAUUUGUGACUGGCAAGCUAGAGUGUGGCAGAGGGGGGUGGAAUUCCGCGUGUAGCAGUGAAAUGCGUAGAUAUGCGGAGGAACACCGAUGGCGAAGGCAGCCCCCUGGGCCAACACUGACGCUCAUGCACGAAAGCGUGGGGAGCAAACAGGAUUAGAGACCCGCGUAGUCCCUGUCUCUUAUAC
rnacentral:rRNA from 1 species